rnacentral:rRNA from 1 species
UACGAAGGGGCUAGCGUUGCUCGGAAUCACUGGGCGUAAAGGGUGCGUAGGCGGGUCUUUAAGUCAGGGUGAAAUCCUGGAGCUCAACUCCAGAACUGCCUUUGAUACUGAGGAUCUUGAGUUCGGGAGAGGUGAGUGGAACUGCGAGUGUAGAGGUGAAAUUCGUAGAUAUUCGCAAGAACACCAGUGGCGAAGGCGGCUCACUGGCCCGAUACUGACGCUGAGGAGCGAAAGCGUGGGGAGCGAACAGG